CUCUAUGGUCGGGCGUGCGGGGUCCCUUCGGGGGCGCCGCUUGCUUCGCUGCGGUCUUUCAACCCGCGCGUCCGGCCACCAGG
rnacentral:antisense_RNA from 1 species